rnacentral:rRNA from 1 species
AGCGAACGCUGGCGGCAGGCCUAACACAUGCAAGUCGAGCGAAGUCUUCGGACUUAGUGGCGGACGGGUGAGUAACACGUGGGAACGUGCCUUUAGGUUCGGAAUAACUCAGGGAAACUUGUGCUAAUACCGAAUGUGCCCUUCGGGGGAAAGGUUUAUCGCCUUUAGAGCGGCCCGCGUCUGAUUAGCUAGUUGGUGAGGUAAAGGCUCACCAAGGCGACGAUCAGUAGCUGGUCUGAGAGGAUGAUCAGCCACAUUGGGACUGAGACACGGCCCAAACUCCUACGGGAGGCAGCAGUGGGGAAUCUUGCGCAAUGGGCGAAAGCCUGACGCAGCCAUGCCGCGUGGAUGAUGAAGGUCUUAGGAUUGUAAAAUCCUUUCACCGGUGAAGAUAAUGACUGUAGCCGGAGAAGAAGCCCCGGCUAACUUCGUGCCAGCAGCCGCCGUAAAAC